rnacentral:lncRNA from 1 species
AGGCUUUUAUUCAAGUGGGUCAAGAGGUUCAAAAUCUAUGAUCUUUUAAAGUGGUUUACUCUCGAAACGAGUAGCCUUGACAUUGCACAUACAAUGCUCAAUCUCCAUUGUUCUACCCUUUUCCCAAAUAUACAAGUUACGCAAUCACUUCAUAAUGUCGAACCCAACUCCCAUCUCUCACCAAAAGACCCCAAGAACACUUUGCACAUAAAACUCUUUUUCUUUGAAAUCUAUAAAGGAUUUUCUUAACUUCUAAACAAAUCUUAGCUCUAAACAACUUUGCUAGCCCCCUUUUUUUUUUUUUUUUUUUUUUUUUUUUUUGUUUGGGGGCCAAGACUUUUCACAAAUCGAGCUAGAAGUUUCUCUACUUAUCCCAUAAAGACUAGUCAAUUAAACACAAGAGUUCACUCUUUUCCUUCAACUUUCUCAUACUCCCAAAUCGAACUUCUC